rnacentral:rRNA from 1 species
UACGGAGGGGGCUAGCGUUGUUCGGAAUUAUUGGGCGUAAAGGGCGUGUAGGCGGCCGAUCAAGUCGGGUGUGAAAUCCCUCGGCUCAACCGAGGAACUGCACUCGAUACUGUUUGGCUAGAGUCCGGGAGGGGGUAGUGGAAUUCCCAGUGUAGCGGUGAAAUGCGUAGAUAUUGGGAAGAACACCAGUAGCGAAGGCGGCUACCUGGACCGGAACUGACGCUGAGGCGCGAAAGCCAGGGGAGCGAAUGGG